AUUGAACGCUGGCGGAAUGCUUUACACAUGCAAGUCGAACGGUAGAGGGGGCAACCCCUCGAGAGUGGCGAACGGGUGAGUAAUAUAUCGGAACGUGCCCAGUCGUGGGGGAUAACGUAGCGAAAGUUACGCUAAUACCGCAUACGAUCUAAGGAUGAAAGCGGGGGACUCGCAAGAGCCUCGCGCGAUUGGAGCGGCCGAUAUCAGAUUAGGUAGUUGGUGGGGUAAAGGCUCACCAAGCCAACGAUCUGUAGCUGGUCUGAGAGGACGACCAGCCACACUGGAACUGAGACACGGUCCAGACUCCUACGGGAGGCAGCAGUGGGGAAUUUUGGACAAUGGACGCAAGUCUUAUCCAGCCAUUCCGCGUGCAGGAUGAAGGCCCUCGGGUUGUAAACUGCUUUUGUACGGAACGAAAAGGUUUCUAUUAAUACUGGGAGCUCAUGACGGUACCGUAAGAAUAAGCACCGGCUAACUACGUGCCAGCCGCCGCCGUAACAC
rnacentral:rRNA from 1 species